UCAGCUUUAUCUGCCCAGGAGGGUAAAGAGUAAGGACAAAAAUAAAUGGAAAAAUAUAUCAUGUAGUGGUAAAUCAAAAUACUACCAGCUACAAUCCAGCUGCCUCAUUUUUAGCCAAAUUUAGUAUCAUGCUCGUUUUAACAAUAGUUGAGAUGCCUACAUACACGGUAUCAAGUAUGGGUUUAAAGUCAGAGUAUCUGCAUGAUUAAUUAACCUUUGGAUAGUUUUUUCUUAAACCAUUAAGUAUCUCAAUUUUCUUAAUAUCUAAAUGGAGAUUUCCAAAAGCAAUCCAUCUCAUAGGGAAGCAGGGACAACUGGAUAUAUGUCAGGGAGAACGGGUCUACUUUGCUUCUUUUCCUACCCCUCUCUGUGGUAGAUUAUCUUAUUUCUUCAAACAUAUUUGGUGCUCCUCCCUCUGGGUCCCUCCUUAGUAACCAGUAAGAAGAGGACAUUUCCCUCCACAUUGACAUGAGGUGUUGCUGCGUUACCAGUUUUGGCUAAUAGAAUGAGCAGACGAAAAAUAAGCAACAGCCAAGUAGAUUUUUAUGAGCUUUAUGGAACGUUUAUGAGUUUUAUGAUUCAAUGAUUUUUUUUCCAUUUUCUCUGCCAGAUGUCCUGCGUUUGGAUUAUUCUUUCAAACUGGAUCACAAUAAAGGAGAAAUGGUCACACAGAUGACUCACAAAGAUACUUGCCUUUUGCCUAAAAUGAAAACUGCCUCAGCUCUACCUAUCGACUCAGGUUUUACUCUUCCAGAAGCCUUCUUAGACCACCAUCUGAGACCGUGGACCAUCCAGUCUCACAUAUCGAUGUCUCCCACCUGUUAGGGGGUUGAGUUAUUUCUCUUUGUCCAAUACCUCAGCCCAAGCUCCUAUGCACUAUGCAGGCUUGCCACUUUUCUAGGCCUCAGGUUAGUCAACAAGAAAAAUUUGGAAUUAGAUUCAAGCCUUCUAAGAUCCACGUUAGGACCAAGAAUUCUUCACUUGUACAUUAGCUACCUUGGAUAUUUGCUCCAUAGCGUCAAAUGGAGCCUGUAGCUGUGUAACUCCCACCACUUUGUCUCACACCAGGCCAACGUAUUAACCUACUUGGGAGUCGCCUGUCCUUUUCAGGAUGACUGCGGACAAGAGGAAAUCUGCAGUUUCCAACAUCAGUAUGUUCUUAUGUUUAUCAAUUUUUCCAGGAAAGUACUCCUUAAAUGGGACAUAAAUCCUUUAGACUCUGUUCUCUUUCCUCUUCAACAGUCACCGUUCCAUCUGGAAAAAGCUUUCACGUACUUCAAACCACUAUCCAAUCUCAUUCAGGGUGUUUAACAGAGAGAAUAAAUCCAUAUCACUUAAUCUUCCGUCGCUGGUC
rnacentral:lncRNA from 1 species